GCAUCAGUGGGGUAGUGGUAACCUGGGUCGUUGCCACAUCGGAUUACGUAAAAGUAUUCGACCCGCCGGGGGUUCGAUUCCCUCCUGAUGCA